GACGAACGCUGGCGGCGUGCCUAAUACAUGCAAGUCGAACGCUUCUUUUUCCACCGGAGCUUGCUCCACCGGAAAAAGAGGAGUGGCGAACGGGUGAGUAAUACGUGGGUAACCUGCCCAUCAGAAGGGGAUAACACUUGGAAACAGGUGCUAAUACCGUAUAACAAUCAAAACCGCAUGGUUUUGAUUUGAAAGGCGCUUUCGGGUGUCGCUGUUGGAUGGACCCGCGGUGCAUUAGCUAGUUGGUGAGGUAACGGCUCACCAAGGCCACGAUGCAUAGCCGACCUGAGAGGGUGAUCGGCCACAUUGGGACUGAGACACGGCCCAAACUCCUACGGGAGGCAGCAGUAGGGAAUCUUCGGCAAUGGACGAAAGUCUGACCGAGCAACGCCGCGUGAGUGAAGAAGGUUUUCGGAUCGUAAAACUCUGUUGUUAGAGAAGAACAAGGAUGAGAGUAACUGUUCAUCCCUUGACGGUAUCUAACCAGAAAGCCACGGCUAACUACGUGCCAGCAGCCGCGGUAAUACGUAGGUGGCAAGCGUUGUCCGGAUUUAUUGGGCGUAAAGCGAGCGCAGGCGGUUUCUUAAGUCUGAUGUGAAAGCCCCCGGCUCAACCGGGGAGGGUCAUUGGAAACUGGGAGACUUGAGUGCAGAAGAGGAGAGUGGAAUUCCAUGUGUAGCGGUGAAAUGCGUAGAUAUAUGGAGGAACACCAGUGGCGAAGGCGG
rnacentral:rRNA from 1 species